rnacentral:rRNA from 1 species
AGUGCAGGCGGUUUUCUAAGUCUGAUGUGAAAGCCUUCGGCUUAACCGGAGAAGUGCAUCGGAAACUGGAUAACUUGAGUGCAGAAGAGGGUAGUGGAACUCCAUGUGUAGCGGUGGAAUGCGUAGAUAUAUGGAAGAACACCAGUGGCGAAGGCGGCUACCUGGUCUGCAACUGACGCUGAGAUCGAAAGCAGUGGUAGCGAACA